rnacentral:rRNA from 1 species
GGUUAAGCGACUAAGCGUACACGGUGGAUGCCCUGGCAGUCAGAGGCGAUGAAGGGCGUGCUAAUCUGCGAUAAGCGCCGGUAAGGUGAUAUGAACCGUUAUAACCGGCGAUACCCGAAUGGGGAAACCCAGUGUGAUUCGUCACACUAUCAUUAACUGAAUCCAUAGGUUAAUGAGGCGAACCGGGGGAACUGAAACAUCUAAGUACCCCGAGGAAAAGAAAUCAACCGAGAUUCCCCCAGUAGCGGCGAGCGAACGGGGAGGAGCCCAGAGCCUGAAUCAGCAUGUGUGUUAGUGGAAGCGUCUGGAAAGGCGCGCGAUACAGGGUGACAGCCCCGUACACAAAAGCGCAUGUGCUGUGAGCUCGAUGAGUAGGGCGGGACACGUGGUAUCCUGUCUGAAUAUGGGGGACCAUCCUCCAAGGCUAAAUACUCCUGACUGACCGAUAGUGAACCAGUACCGUGAGGGAAAGGCGAAAAGAACCCCGGCGAGGGGAGUGAAAAAGAACCUGAAACCGUGUACGUACAAGCAGUGGGAGCACCCUUCGGGGUGUGACUGCGUACCUUUUGUAUAAUGGGUCAGCGACUUAUAUUCUGUAGCAAGGUUAACCGUAUAGGGGAGCCGGAGGGAAACCGAGUCUUAACCGGGCGUUAAGUUGCAGGGUAUAGACCCGAAACCCGGUGAUCUAGCCAUGGGCAGGUUGAAGGUUGGGUAACACUAACUGGAGGACCGAACCGACUAAUGUUGAAAAAUUAGCGGAUGACCUGUGGCUGGGGGUGAAAGGCCAAUCAAACCGGGAGAUAGCUGGUUCUCCCCGAAAGCUAUUUAGGUAGCGCCUCGUGAAUUCAUCUCCGGGGUAGAGCACUGUUUCGGCUAGGGGGCCAUCCCGGCUUACCAACCCGAUGCAAACUGCGAAUACCGGAGAAUGUUAUCACGGGAGACACACGGCGGGUGCUAACGUCCGUCGUGAAGAGGGAAACAACCCAGACCGCCAGCUAAGGUCCCAAAGUCAUGGUUAAGUGGGAAACGAUGUGGGAAGGCCCAGACAGCCAGGAUGUUGGCUUAGAAGCAGCCAUCAUUUAAAGAAAGCGUAAUAGCUCACUGGUCGAGUCGGCCUGCGCGGAAGAUGUAACGGGGCUAAACCAUGCACCGAAGCUGCGGCAGCGAACGUAUCACCCAAGACAACUUUACGGAGUUGACGAUUGACGGAGCGAAGCGACGUCAAAGCGUUCAUUAAAGUCGAGUUGGCUUAGGGAUACGUUCGUUGGGUAGGGGAGCGUUCUGUAAGCCUGUGAAGGUGUGUCGUGAGGCAUGCUGGAGGUAUCAGAAGUGCGAAUGCUGACAUAAGUAACGAUAAAGCGGGUGAAAAGCCCGCUCGCCGGAAGACCAAGGGUUCCUGUCCAACGUUAAUCGGGGCAGGGUGAGUCGACCCCUAAGGCGAGGCCGAAAGGCGUAGUCGAUGGGAAACGGGUUAAUAUUCCCGUACUUGGUGUUACUGCGAAGGGGGGACGGAGAAGGCUAUGUUGGCCGGGCGACGGUUGUCCCGGUUUAAGCGUGUAGGUGUGUGUUCCAGGUAAAUCCGGUUCACUUUAACACUGAGGCGUGACGACGAGGCACUACGGUGCUGAAGCAACAAAUGCCCUGCUUCCAGGAAAAGCCUCUAAGCAUCAGGUAACACGAAAUCGUACCCCAAACCGACACAGGUGGUCAGGUAGAGAAUACCAAGGCGCUUGAGAGAACUCGGGUGAAGGAACUAGGCAAAAUGGUGCCGUAACUUCGGGAGAAGGCACGCUGACACGUAGGUGAAGUGAUUUACUCAUGGAGCUGAAGUCAGUCGAAGAUACCAGCUGGCUGCAACUGUUUAUUAAAAACACAGCACUGUGCAAACACGAAAGUGGACGUAUACGGUGUGACGCCUGCCCGGUGCCGGAAGGUUAAUUGAUGGGGUCAGCGUAAGCGAAGCUCCUGAUCGAAGCCCCGGUAAACGGCGGCCGUAACUAUAACGGUCCUAAGGUAGCGAAAUUCCUUGUCGGGUAAGUUCCGACCUGCACGAAUGGCGUAAUGAUGGCCAGGCUGUCUCCACCCGAGACUCAGUGAAAUUGAACUCGCUGUGAAGAUGCAGUGUACCCGCGGCAAGACGGAAAGACCCCGUGAACCUUUACUAUAGCUUGACACUGAACAUUGAGCCUUGAUGUGUAGGAUAGGUGGGAGGCUUUGAAGUGUGGACGCCAGUCUGCAUGGAGCCGACCUUGAAAUACCACCCUUUAAUGUUUGAUGUUCUAACGUGGACCCGUAAUCCGGGUUGCGGACAGUGUCUGGUGGGUAGUUUGACUGGGGCGGUCUCCUCCUAAAGAGUAACGGAGGAGCACGAAGGUUGGCUAAUCCUGGUCGGACAUCAGGAGGUUAGUGCAAUGGCAUAAGCCAGCUUGACUGCGAGCGUGACGGCGCGAGCAGGUGCGAAAGCAGGUCAUAGUGAUCCGGUGGUUCUGAAUGGAAGGGCCAUCGCUCAACGGAUAAAAGGUACUCCGGGGAUAACAGGCUGAUACCGCCCAAGAGUUCAUAUCGACGGCGGUGUUUGGCACCUCGAUGUCGGCUCAUCACAUCCUGGGGCUGAAGUAGGUCCCAAGGGUAUGGCUGUUCGCCAUUUAAAGUGGUACGCGAGCUGGGUUUAGAACGUCGUGAGACAGUUCGGUCCCUAUCUGCCGUGGGCGCUGGAGAACUGAGGGGGGCUGCUCCUAGUACGAGAGGACCGGAGUGGACGCAUCACUGGUGUUCGGGUUGUCAUGCCAAUGGCACUGCCCGGUAGCUAAAUGCGGAAGAGAUAAGUGCUGAAAGCAUCUAAGCACGAAACUUGCCCCGAGAUGAGUUCUCCCUGAGACUUAGAGUCUCCUGAAGGAACGUUGAAGACGACGACGUUGAUAGGCCGGGUGUGUAAGCGCAGCGAUGCGUUGAGCUAACCGGUACUAAUGAACCGUGAGGCUUAACCUU